GGUUGCAGGGUGAGGAGCACCCCGCAAGUGUCAAUGACAAUAAAAUUUGCUAGGUAUUUAUCAUCCCGCAAGAUUUCUUCAAUAUUAUCUUUUCAAUUCCAUCUCCCACGUUCUCAUUUACUCUCUCCUUUUGCACUCUUUGAAGGAACCAACAUCUCUCCCAAACUUGAUUCACUCAGAAAAAACAAAAUAUCCACAAAACCCUUCUUGCAAGUUGCAUCAUUCCUUCCAAGCCUUCUCACACGAUUGCCAUAAGUUGUUUCUAGGGUUUUGGCAUUUGGGGUUUCUCAUACAGGAUUUCUCUUCCAUGGUUUCUACGAUUUGAGUUUGAUAUUUCGGCGUUAUGCCUUUGCAGUAUUGGACGUGGUGUUACUAGCUAAGAAUCGUGAGUUUGAGAUUUCUCAAAGGGAAGGCGGCGACGGUGGAGUUCAGGUAAUGUACUUGGCUUGACAUAUUUGUUUGGCAUAUUUGUAUUGGGAUGCAGAAUUGGUUCUGAGCUAGGUUUGAAGUUCGAUUUGGUUUGGGAUAUACUUCAAUUGGCAACAUAUAUGACACUUUUCCCAAUUCCUUACUAUCCAUCAUUAAUUCUUUCAAUAAAUUCAAACCAGCAUAUUUACUUUCUGAUGGAAGAUUAGAGAGGGCAGGGAGGGUUAAAAGGAAAUCUUCUUCUGGUGGACAACUUACUGCUGAUAGCAAUGGCUUGGAUGUGCAUAAAAACAGCACACUCACAACAUCAGUCAUUGCUAUGGGAGAUGAGAUUCUGUAAGUACCAGAAUAUCACAUGGACAAUUGGAUUAUGUUGAAUCUUUUGGAAACUCUAUGCUCUGUUUACUAGUAUGCUCUGCAUUAUAAUUUUCCAUUGGGAGAUAGUUCAAUUAUACCUGACUAUUUAUCCCUCUUUUUGAGUUUCGGAUCAUCAAUAUUCAAUGUUAAACCUGUUGAAUUUUUUGAUUUUAUACUGGUUAAUUUGUUGCCGAGCUACUAUAUUUUGUCAUAGUUGGUUAUACUCAUGAACAAACAGCAUUUUUAAUGAAAGAAAAAUAAAUGAAACCGCAGAUUUUUAAUCUCCAUCAUGUCUUGCUGUGCAGUACAGUGAAUGCUUUUUUAUUGUCCUUCAGCUGCUCUUUUAAUGUUCUAUUAUUCUUUACCCUGCUCCAUAGCUCAGGUUUGGAAUUGUUGAGGAUCAGUUGGGACCAUAUUUAUGUAGGAAGCUGGGUUCCAUUGGUUGGUCCGUGUUGCAAUGUUCUGUAGUUCACAAUAAUGUGAGUUCAUUUUUAUAGAAGUCCUACCUCUGUAUUUAUUAAUGGUUUUGCUUUACAGAUAUAAAAGUUGGUUGGAUACAGACCAUAUGCAAACUGCAAUAUAGACAUCAUUAACCCAAUCCUUUACUUUUAUUUUUAUGGCACAUGUGUUUUGUACAGAUAGAUUCUGUGGCAGAAGAAGUUGAGCGACGGAAAUCUAAGACUGAUAUGGUAAUAUACAAAUGCUUAGAAAGUUGUGACAUUUCUUGAAAAUCAAAUGAUGGUUCAUAUUAUUCAUCUGGCCUGCUUCUA